rnacentral:rRNA from 1 species
UGGGGAAUAUUGCACAAUAGGCGCAAGCCUGAUGCAGCCAUGCCGCGUGUAUGAAGAAGGCCUUCGGGUUGUAAAGUACUUUCAGCGGGGAGGAAGGGAGUAAAGUUAAUACCUUUGCUCAUUAACGUUACCCGCAGAAGAAGCACCGGCUAACUCCGUGCCAGCAGCCGCGGUAAUACGGAGGGUGCAAGCGUUAAUCGGAAUUACUGGGCGUAAAGCGCACGCAGGCGGUUUGUUAAGUCAGAUGUGAAAUCCCCGGGCUCAACCUGGGAACUGCAUCUGAUACUGGCAAGCUUGAGUCUCGUAGAGGGGGGUAGAAUUCCAGGUGUAGCGGUGAAAUGCGUAGAGAUCUGGAGGAAUACCGGUGGCGAAGGCGGCCCCCUGGACAAAGACUGACGCUCAGGUGCGAAAGCGUGGGGAGCAAACAGG